AACGAACGCUGGCGGCAGGCUUAACACAUGCAAGUCGAGCGCAUCCUUCGGGGUGAGCGGCGGACGGGUGAGUAACGCGUGGGAACGUGCCCUCUUCUACGGAAUAGCCUCGGGAAACUGAGAGUAAUGCCGUAUACGCCCGCAAGGGGAAAGAUUUAUCGGAGGAGGAUCGGCCCGCGUUGGAUUAGGUAGUUGGUGGGGUAACGGCCUACCAAGCCGACGAUCCAUAGCUGGUUUGAGAGGAUGAUCAGCCACACUGGGACUGAGACACGGCCCAGACUCCUACGGGAGGCAGCAGUGGGGAAUCUUGGACAAUGGGGGCAACCCUGAUCCAGCCAUGCCGCGUGAUCGAUGAAGGCCUUAAGGUUGUAAAGAUCUUUCAGCUGGGAAGAUAAUGACGGUACCAGCAGAAGAAGCCCCGGCUAACUCCGUG
rnacentral:rRNA from 1 species